CGCUGUCGACGCCAACGCCCCACCCCCCUCCAAGCUUGCCCCCGGCCCCGCCACCACACCUCCUCCCGCUCGCCCCGCCGCAGCGGCCAUGGCGGCCACCGCCGCAGCCGCCGUCUCCUUCUCCCUCCCCUCCGCCCCGCGCGGCCUCGGGCCUCGCCGGCGCCGCCGCCGCGCGCCUUCCCUCCUCCGCGCCGCCUCCACCGCCGCGCCCCCGUCCCCGGACCUCUCCAUCCAGCUCUCGCCGCGCGCGUCCCCGCCCGCGCCGGCCAACGGCGCCUCGACCGCCGCCGGACCACCCGUGGCCGCCUCCUUCGCUCGCGACCGCGCCGAGGACCUGCAGGCCGAGGCCCGCGCCAUGGCCCGCGCCGCCGGGGCCACCGUCUACAGCCCCGAGCUGCUCGCCGCCCGCUACGGCUCCCGCCCCUUCAAGGUGGCGCUGAGGGCGGCGGAGGUGCUGUCCAAGCUGGGGGCCUUCGGGGUGAAGUUGCUGCUGGACGAGCGGAGCGGGGACUCGUCCUCGGCGAAGCGCCGAGCCAGGGCGGUGGAGCUGCGGACCAUCCUCACCAGGCUCGGCCCGACGUUCGUCAAGAUCGGGCAGGGGCUGUCCACGCGCCCCGACCUCUGCCCGGCAGAGUACCUCGAGGAGCUUGCCGAGUUGCAGGAUUCACUUCCCACAUUUCCAGAUGAAGAGGCAUUUGCGUGUAUCGAGAGAGAGCUUGGCUUCCCACUUGAUUCAAUCUACUCGACAAUAUCACCUUCCCCCAUCGCAGCUGCUAGUUUAGGUCAAGUUUACAAGGCACGGUUGAAAUACUCCGGGAAGCUGGUAGCUGUCAAGGUGCAAAGACCCGGUAUUGAGGAUGCCAUAGGGCUUGAUUUUUAUCUACUCAGGGGCCUUGGCUUUUUAAUAAAUAAAUAUGUUGACAUUGUAACCAGUGAUGUUGUUGCCCUCAUGGAUGAAUUUGCUCGAAGAGUUUUCCAAGAGCUCAACUAUGUCCAGGAAGGCCAAAAUGCAAGAAGGUUUAAGAAGUUAUAUGCUGAUAAGCAAGAUGUAUUGGUGCCUGAUAUAUUUUGGGAUUACACAAGUGCAAAGGUUCUGACUAUGGAGUGGAUUGAGGGUGUAAAAUUAAACCAGCAGGCCGCUAUUGAAAGUCAAGGAUUGAAGGUUCUGGAUUUGGUCAACAUUGGCAUCCAGUGUAGCUUGAGGCAACUUCUGGAAUAUGGUUACUUUCAUGCUGAUCCUCAUCCUGGUAAUAUAUUGGCAACACCCGAGGGGAAGCUUGCUUUUCUUGAUUUUGGCAUGAUGAGUGAAACACCAGAGGAUGCAAGGGUAGCCAUUAUAGGACAUGUUGUCCACUUGGUCAAUAGGGACUAUGAAGCUAUGGCUCGUGAUUAUUAUGCGCUAGAUUUCUUGGAACCUGAUGUCGAUGUUUCCCCAAUUGUGCCUGCUCUCAAGAAUUUCUUUGAUGAUGCUCUGAAUGCAACAGUGAGUGAGUUGAACUUCAAGACGAUAGUUGAUGGAUUAGGUGCUGUUCUCUAUCAGUACCCAUUCAAUGUGCCUGCAUACUAUGCAUUGAUACUGCGAUCACUCACUGUGCUGGAAGGUUUAGCACUCUAUGCUGACCCUGAUUUUAAGGUGCUUGCUGCCUCGUACCCUUACUUUGCUAAAAGGCUACUCACUGAUCCCAAUCCAUAUCUCAGAGAUGCUUUAAUUGAGCUUCUAUUCAAGGACGGAAGAUUCAGAUGGAAUAGGCUUGAAAAUCUUCUUGUUCAAGGGCGCCAAGAUAGAGAAUUCGCAGCCAAAGAUGCCCUACAACCUGUUCUAAAGCUUCUCCUUGGUCCCGAUGGGGAGGAAUUGCGUGUGCUGGUUGUGAAAGAGGCUGUUCGUGUAACAGAAGCCAUCACUAUUGGAACACUGAUUGAUUCGUACAACUCAGCUCCAGAAUUUUUGAAGCCACUAAUUUCCAGUGGCAAUCCGGCCGGACCCUUCAAGUUUAGUGAGGCUGAACAGGAACAAAUGAUGGAGCUCCGAGACCAAGUUUUCAGAGUAUGGGGUCUUUUGAGAUCCUCAAAUAACUUCGAUCCGAGCCUUUUGCAACCAAUUGUACAGGUGCUGCAAGAACCAGAGGCCCGUGUUCUGGGUUCCCGUGUUGCAGGAGGGGUUACACAGCGCCUUGCGGCCCGUCUGUUGCAGCAGCUUCUCAGGACCCCUCCUGCUCCUGGAUCUUCUUAGCAGAUACUAGAUAGGUUCGAAUGAAGCAUGUAAAUUCACACGAUGCUUUUCACAGGAAAUGAGAAGGAAGCAUAACUCGGAAAUCAAGUAUAUAGCGGGUUUCUUCAUUCUUGGUGGAUAAAGAUCCGUACAUUGGCACGACCAUAAAUUGAUAAUGCUAGCGGGGUAGCGCCAGAGGCGUCCUUUUGGCGCAUAUGGUCCAAUUGAACAUGUGUCGCCCACAGGUCUGUAUCGUUCCAGUUCCACAGGGUUUAUGCUUUUAAGAUCAGCCUGUAAAUAUGUAGUAUGCCUGUAUUUUUCCACAAGUGAAUAGGUUAGGAAACAUGCGUACUAUCAAUCUUUGUCGAAUGCUUCAGUUGGUUGCAGCCGUGCCAUCUGAUUAUUUGACAACAGACGGACUCGUGGUGUGCCACCAUCGAGGCGAUGCUGCCAACUUGCUGGUGGACAAUUCAAGUUA